CUUGAAAUUACCUUAUGGGUACAGUUCAAAUGUAGCCACUUAUAUAUCAGUAGAUGAAUGCAAAAUUAUUGGCCUCAAGUCACAUGAUUGUCAUGUCCUCAUGCAACAACUUUUGGCUGUAGCAUUAAGAGUAUUACUUCCAAAAUGACCAAGACAUGCAAUUUUUAGACUAUGUACAUUCUUCAAUAGAUUAUGCCAACGUGUUGUUGAUAGGGAGAAAAUAGCAAUAUUAGAAGAUGAAGUAGCUGAAACCUUAUGCAGUCUUGAAAGAUUCUUUCCUCCUGCAUUUUUUGAUAUCAUGAUACAUUUGGUGGUACAUUUGGGAAGAGAAGUACGAUUAUGUGGUCCAGUUCACUAUUGUUGGAUGUAUCCUUUUGAGAGGUGAGAAAUUCACUAUUACUUGGAUAAAUUUACCCACAUAAUUGCAUUCUUAGUACUAAUUUGUUUACUUUGUUUAAUUAUAGACAUAUGAAGAUAUUCAAAGGACAUGUGAGAAAUCGUGCAGAUCCGAAUGUUAUAUAGCUGAAUGUUAUCUUGCAGAUGAGUGCAUGAAUUUUUGUAUCGAGUUUAUGAAACAAGUAAGAGAAAUUGGUCAUCGAGAGGGGCGCAAUCAAGAUUAUGUUACCAAUGAAACUGAGGGACAUCCCAUUUCUGCUCCAAAUUUUAUUACACUAAGUAAUGAAAUGUUAGAGAUAGCACAUCGUUAUGUAUUAUUCAAUACAUCUUAUGUGGAACCUUAUUUGGAGUAAGUCAUCCAUUAUUCAUAUUAAUAAGUGUAGAACAUGUAUAUAAAUCUGUAAUCUCUGAUAACUUGCUUAUUAUUAGAAUGCAUAAAGAGGAGCUCAAGCGAAACAAUAGAAGCCUUGAAAAAAAUGAAAGCUUGCUUUGGAAAAUUCACACGGAGAAAUUUGCAGUUUGGUUAA
rnacentral:lncRNA from 1 species